rnacentral:rRNA from 1 species
GGCGAGUGAAGCGGCAACAGCUCAAAUUUGAAAUCUGGCUCUAUUUUAGAGUCCGAGUUGUAAUUUGCAGAGGGUGCUUUGGCGUUGGCAGCGGUCUAAGUUCCUUGGAACAGGACGUCACAGAGGGUGAGAAUCCCGUACGUGGUCGCCUGCCCUCGCCGUGUAAAGCCCCUUCGAUGAGUCGAGUUGUUUGAGAAUGCAGCUCUAAAUGGGAGGUAAAUUUCUUCUAAAGCUAAAUACUGGCCAGAGACCGAUAGCGCACAAGUAGAGUGAUCGAAAGAUGAAAAGCACUUUGGAAAGAGAGUCAAAUAGCACGUGAAAUUGUUGAAAGGGAAGCGCUUGCAGUCAGACUUGCCUACGGUUGCUCAUCCAGGCUUUUGCCUGGUGCACUCUUCCGUGGGCAGGCCAGCAUCAGUUUGGGCGACCGGACAAUGGCCUCUAUCACGUACCUCCUUUCGGGGAGGCCUUAUAGGGGAGGCGUAAUGCGGUCAGCCUGGACUGAGGUCCGCGCAUCUGCUAGGAUGCUGGCGUAAUGGCUGUAAGCGGCCCGUCUUGAAACACGGACCAAGGAGUCUAACAUCUAUGCGAGUGUUUGGGUGUCAAGCCCGAGCGCGUAAUGAAAGUGAACGGAGGUGGGAACCCUUUACGGGGUGCACCAUCGACCGAUCCUGAUGUCUUCGGAUGGAUUUGAGUAAGAGCAUAGCUGUUGGGACCCGAAAGAUGGUGAACUAUGCUUGAAUAGGGUGAAGCCAGAGGAAACUCUGGUGGAGGCUCGCAGCGGUUCUGACGUGCAAAUCGAUCGUCAAAUUUGGGC